GUGCUUCAUCCGGCGGCAGUGUUGCAUGGGACUCGCUCGGGAAGAAUGUCUGUAAAGAAGUGUGUUUUUGGUUGUAAGGGAAAGAUAACUUUGUUCAUCUUCCUAAAGAACCAAGUGUUAUGUAAACAGUGGAUGCAGUUUGUUUUUCCAAAGCAGCAACGCAGUUUUACAAGCGUGUCUGUUGUCGAUGGUUUUAUAAACAAGUCGCAGUUCGACGCUGGAUUUGCACAUCGUUUGAUACUGAAAGAUGAAGCAGUCCCAGCUGUAAAAGAUCCCCAUCAUGAUUCAGAACUGCAGACGAAACCCUGCCCUGAGCUGACUUUACUUCUUCUCUGAAGGAUGGCUGCUCAUUCAGAUCUCACAAAAUGAAUGUUUAAAGAAAGCCAAGACGCCACCAGAAAGGAGAGAAUAUGAAGGCAAUAAAAGUUCCGUGCUAGGCCUGGCGGAACUGCAAAUACAUCAAGGGUUCAUUCUCCUCUGUUUGCCAUUAUUCACAUUUGGCAGCCACGGAAUGUCACACCUGAGCUAUUGGGGCUCCCACUCCCAAGAUAUAUGGCUAGAGUAUUUCAUACUUGAAGUUAUUUACCCUGUCGUUUGUUUUCAUUUUUACUGAUGUGGGUCAUUUGACAGUUUGGAGUAGUUUCAAAGCUUUUGCAAACAAACACCUAUAUGUUAUUGUGUCAGGAGCGUGGAGAUGGAGACCUUUUUCCUUUGCCAUUAAAGGUGUCAUAAGAUUAUUUGGGAGGAAACAAGCUAAUACUCAAAGAUAUAUGGAGCAAAUAUGCUCAAACAACAACAACAACAACAACAACAUUAUGAUAAUGUGUGGAUAAAGUGUUGUUAUUAUAUUAAAAUCUCAAGGUUAUAUGUGAAGUAGACUUUACAUGUCUUUAUUAGGGAAUGUAAUUUAUAGUUAAUCUGGCCAGAAUUCAAAGUGUUUGUGUCUUUAUAUCACAAUUAUCAGUAAAUUCACUUGGAUAACCAUUGAAAUAAGAUUACUAAGACUCGUAUUUUCCCAUAGGGCACUCCUUGCUUGAAAAGUUUAUUAAAAAACUCUGAAACUAUCAGCAACUGCAAUUUUUUUUUAGUAACUUUCCACGUAAUAAUGGAAUUAUAAUGUGUGAUUUCACUGCAUUGUUUUUAUUUCCAUUUAGUAAGAGUAUUGAAAGCAAAUGAAGAAGUACUACCAAUAAUCUCCUUCCGACCGACAACUUUUAAGUGGUGUUUUCGUAACCUUUUCUCUCAACUGUAAACCAAUGAGAAGUGC
ensembl:lncRNA